UACGUAGGGUGCGAGCGUUGUCCGGAAUUAUUGGGCGUAAAGGGCUCGUAGGCGGUUUGUCGCGUCGGGAGUGAAAUCCACUGGCUUAACUGGUGGCUUGCUUUCGAUACGGGCAGACGUGAAGGUAUGCAGGGGAGAACGGAAUUCCUGGUGUAGCGGCGAAAUGCGCAGAUAUCAGGAGGAACACCGGUGGCGAAGGCGGUUCUCUGGGCAUGUCCUGACGCUGAGGAGCGAAAGUGUGGGGAGCGAACAGG
rnacentral:rRNA from 1 species